UAUGGCCACAGCAUGUUGAAACGCUGGUUCCUGUAUGAUCACCAAAGUUAAGCAAUAUCAAGUCUGGUCAGUACCUAGAUGGGUGACCACUUAGGAAUACUAGGUGCUGUAAG